CCCGCCCCCCCCACUGUCCCCGCCCCCUCCCUCGCCUAGCACUUCCCCGCAGCGCUUUGUGGGCGGCUCGUCCUUUUCUUGACGCGAGUCCUACGUCAGGGAGCCGCCAGCCGCCUUGGCCCAGACUCUUACCAGCGGGCGCGGGAUAAGGCGCAGCCUUGAAUGAACGUGAGCUCUGGCCCCGCUUAACUCGUGGAAAAUGUUUCCACGUAGUCUUUUGAAGUUAUUUAGCGACCAGGACAUAAUUUCAAACCUCCUCCCCCUCGCCUCCCCAGUCGUUCCAGUUCACCUACUUGGUAGCUGGAGUGAAAUAGGAGCCAUUUAAAAAUCUCCUGUGCUGGAAACAUAGUAGAAGCUUCCCCAGUGUCCUCUUUUCUCCCUUCUCUCAAUGUUAGUUGAAUUGAGCAAUACAGUUGUUGGUUGCUGACUUACAACAGAUGCUUGCCCUUUUGCUUCUGUUGCUUGAUUUAACGAAAUUGUUAGUGUACUUUGCCUGUUGAGAAAAUUAAACAUGAUUACCAAAAAAAAUUUUUUUAACCAACAGCUAGAUAGACAUAUUGUAAAUGACAUCUUCUGAAAGACAAGGUUGGUUUUGUGGGCAUGCAACCUGUCCAGUGGAACAGGACCUCAGAAGGACUCUGAGGUCCUAGUUUCUUUCCUGUGCCGCAUUAUUAAUAAAUUCUGAAAAAGCCCACAUAUUUCCGUUUUGCACUGGGCCCUGCAAAUGAUGUGGGCGAUCUUCUGAAAGGAGUGGUAGGGUAAGUGACCUCUGUUGGAACCUAUGUUGUAAAUAUAGAUGCCACUCAGGAGACUACCUGUCAGCAUUUGUCCCCGUGGCCCAGGCCUAUUUGGCCAUAGUGACCUAUGGACUGAACUAAUCUGUGGAGCUGUGGAUCGACUGGAAUUCGGGCUGAAGGCUCUGAAAAGCAGUUCAACAUGAUGACAUAAGAAGAGCUUGAACUCACCUCCUCCCAGAGACACACCAAGUCUACAGCUACUUAUGGUGCAGUUCACUCCGAAAAAGACGUGAAAAUUAGCUGAGUAACUCCUUCACAUCAGCAAACACAUCAAAGCAGAAGUUGGGCUUUUAAUGUGACGAUCUUGCACUGAAAGGUAAAGAGAUUGAAUUGUGACUCGUCAAACAUGGAUUGUCAGCUGUCACUGGGACACCUGAAAGUCCAUCCACAUCUCUCAUCCCAGGCAGAUUGGCAUCCACCCACCACCUUCUUCCCCUGACAAUAUGUCAUGAAACCCAAAUAGAAUCUGAAUGAUACAAUGGAAUUUGAAAAAAUUAUCAGAGCCUCAUUUUGUUGUUGGAAUCACAGUAAAGCUACUUUUCAAAUUCUUCCAUUCAACUUGUCAUCUGUAAUAAGUGGAUAUCAUCCUAUCCACCAACAGAAAAGUGUUCUUUUCUAGACUGCAUAUUUAGCAACGUGCUCAUGAGCAAAGGUUUAUUUGCCAAAAAAAUUCAUCUCUGACCCACAUGAUGGAACCUCAUCUUUAAAGAACUACAUCCUUCCAUUUGUUUAAAAGGGGGUAGAUUUUGGAGUGGUUCCUUCUGAAAGCUUGGAGAAUGAAACUCACAUGUGACACCUCAUUUCAGAGACUCUGAUCUAGAAGGUCCCUCCAGCAUCAUGCAGCUCUGUUCAUACUUGGAGCUUAGUAAAUGCUUGUGGGAUUAGUGAGCAAAUGAAUGAGAAGAAGAGAAAAGAUAAGGGAUUAUAAAGGUAAAGUAUAAUCAAUUUUAUAGACACAACUUGCAUUUCUGGAUUAUCUCAGAAUAUUUUCCUUCAUUUUUGCCCAAAAACCAAAUGAGUAAAUGAGGUUACCAAUUAGCCACAUAGGGCAGAAAGAGGGAAAACUGAUAUUUAUGUGACACUUAACAUGUAUACCUUGUGAGAGAACUAUGUAUAGGAUUAACCAGCACAUGUGCUGUGCUGACUACCUUAACAGCUAAAAUCACAAGGGAAAAGAUGGCUGUGAAAUGCAGCACCUGAGAGAGAAUCAGGAGACCUGGGUUUAUUCCUGACUGUCCUAACUCAUAGAUCUAGAGCUGUUGUUUUUCUCAAAGCUCUCUUUCAAGUAAAUUAAAUAGGUAUGUAUUAGGAAACUAGAGCAUGAUACAGUGGGGAAAGCACAGACUAGGGCAUCACAAGACACAGGUUUGCACCAUCACUAGCUGAGUGACCUUAGGCUGCUGAGUUUUAAAGCCUCCCUCUGGAAGGUGGAGAUAAUAAAAAGAGGCCUUCCCUAAUUUACCUACAGGGCUUUGGUGAGAAAACAGUGAGGUGAUGUGUCAAUUAUUUUGUAAACUCUUAAGUUCAAAGUGAUUAUUAUUAACUUGGCACUAUGCUUGAUUCUGUGGGUACCACAGAAGACCUUUGAGAACCUUCGUGAAGUCUAAGAUCUUGUAGGGAAAAUGAAAUAGACACAGGUGAUUUAGAAAGACAGCAGUGCAGGAUAGAAUGAGAUCAACAGGCAAAACAGGUGACGGGGAUAAACACUCCUACACGAUGUCAGAAUGUGAUGAUCAUUGUGGGUUAGUGUCUCCAGGAAAGAGUUGUGUAGGGGACAGGAUGGCUAAGCUGGGUCUUUUGGGUGAAUAGACUCUGGACAGGGGUCAGGUCCAAAGGCACGGAGACAGGUAUACGAUCGCUGUACAUCCGGGGCCGAAGUGCACUUGGCGUUGCUGGGGCUGAGUUGAGCUGGGUUUGGCAGGCAACUGAACUCAGGAGUAAGCACAUAUGCUCAUCAGAGGCCUCAAGAAGGUCCUCUGUCUGUGACAGCAACUGUUUUAGUCAUUCAUCCAGUGAUCAAAUAUUAAUCGAACAUAUAGUGAACUAGGUACUUUAGGAAUCGAGAGGAAGAAGCUGCUUGAGUCUAUAAUCACUACAGUUCAAGAUUUUCGGCUGUCGUUCACAAACUCAUCAAUCCAAAGCAAGACUAGGAGGAAGAACAUAUGAGGUGUAAACAGAAAAUCUAGGUUUAGCACUGGCAUCAAAUUGUUAAAAUGCAAUCAAGGUAAAUCUGUAUCUACCCUGGAUAUAUUUUUUUAAGGCAGCUAUAAUGCAGGAUAGCAGUUCUCAAACAUUUUGGUCUCAAGACUCUUUUACACAUUGAAAAAUUACUGGGGACUCCAAAGCGUUUUUGUUUCUGUGGGUUACAUCUAUAAAUAUUUGCCGUAUUAGAAAUGAAAGCUGUGAACACUGAAGAUAAGUUAUCAAUCCAUUUUAAAAUGAAACGAAUAAACCCAUCAUAUAUUAACAUAAAUAAUAUUUUUUAUGAAAAAUACUUAUGUUUUCCAGAACAAAACAGUGGCACUGUUUUGCAGUUUUGAAAAUCUCUUUAGUGUUUGGCUUAAUAGAAGACAGCUGGAUUCUCACAUAUGCUUCUGCUUCAGUCUGUUAUAUUGCAUGUCAGGUAUCCUCUGGAAGAUUCCCCUGCACCCUCAUAAAAGGAUGAAACGGAAGAGGGCAAAUGACACUUUAUAUUUUCCCAGCUUUACUGAUAUAUAUUUGACAUAUACCGUUGUGUAUGUUUAAGGUGUACAAUGUGACGAUUUGAUGCACAUAUAUUUUGCGAAAUGUUUACCACAAUAAGGUUAGUUAACACAUCCUUUACCUCACAUAAUUACCAUUUUGUUGUUGUUACAGUGAGAACAUUAAAGCUCUACGCUCAUAGAAACAUUCAAGUAUACAGUAAGUAUUGUUAACUAUAGUCACCACGCUGUACCUUAGAGUCCAGGACUUAUUCGUCUUAGAACCAAAAGUUUGCACCCUCAUUUCCCCCAACCCUGGGGUUGCUAACCAUCAUUUUACUCGGUUUGUAUAGAUUCCACAUAUAAGUGAAAUCAUACAGUAUUUGUCCUUCUCUGUCUGAUUUAUUCACUUAGCAUAGUGCCUUCAAGGUCCAUCCAUGUUGUCACAAAAGGCAGGACACAAAUACAUAUACACCAUAUUUUCUUUAUCCAUUCAUCAGUGGACACUCAGGUGUUUCCAUAUCUUGGCUAUUGUGAAUAAUGCUGUGAAGAACAUGGGGGUGUAGAUAGCUCUUUGAGAUAGUGAUCUCCUUUACUUUGGAUAUUAUUAUUACUAUUAUUAUUAUUAAAAUAGUAUUGACCUCCUUGGCUUCCCGAAAGCAUCCCGGAGAUCCCUGGAACCCACACUGCAAGCCACUGACGUGUAGAAGAAAAAGCCACCAGCUUCGAAUCAGAAAACUCAAGUUUGGAUCCCCUAUGACCUUAAGCAAGCCACCUAAUGUGUCUGAGCUUUUUCUCCCAUAAAAUGGGGGAUUUGGGCUAUCCCUGGUGGCGCAGUGGUUGAGAGUCCGCCUGACGAUGCAGGGGACACGGGUUCGUGCCCCGGUCCGGGAAGAUCUCACGUGCCGCGGAGUGGCUGGGCCCGUGAGCCAUGGCCGCUGAGCCUGCGCGUCCGGAGCCUGUGCUCCGCAGCGGGAGAGGCCACAACAGUGAGAGGCCCGCGUACCGAAAAAAAAAAAAAAAAAAAAAAAAAAAAAAAAGGAGGAUUUAAUAGUAUCCCCAUUAAAGGAUUCUCAUGAGGACUAUACAUGAGAAUUGCUCUACUGGUUAUAGUAAAUACAGAAUUGUCUAGCAGACAGAAAUAAUAGAGAAGAAUGUUCGACAGCCUUUCUUAGUGUGCAGACCAGCUUGCUGUCAUCCUUGCAGCUUAGCUUAAAAUCUGUCUUGCUUGCCUCUUUUGCACAGAGGUCUGAGAAGAGGGAACCAGUUCACUAGUCACUACAAGGGCCAUGUAAAGCAAGACCAUCUCCUAGACUGGCUGAGAACAGACUCCUCUGCUCUGACAUUUUCCACAACUAAGUAGCAAGUGGUGAAAAUUUAAUGACCUCUUCUGCAGAUGGUGACAAUUAAGUCAACUGCCACGAGUACUGAGUAAUGGGUGUGCAAUGUGAUAUGACUUCAGAAAGUACAUGUUAGGAUUCACAGAGCAAGGAUAUAAAAGAGUUUUCUCCUGUGCACUUCCUCUGCGGGAACAAGGGCGGCCUGAGGACGUCUGGGGCUUCUUUCACAGGUGCUGGGAUUCGUGGAAAUCAGCACGAAUGGCUUUCUCCCAAGGCAGCCCCAGUGAAAGGUUCUCCAAGAUGGAUCUACCACUGCUUGCUUUAUCAGUCAUGGAUUUGGGUUUCAAGCAAUAGAAGCUGAUUGGGCUGAUUUAGCAGAAAAUGAGUUUAAUAAAAUGAUACUGAGUAGUUCAAAGAAUUCUUGAGAGGGCUGGGCUCCAGGCUAAAAUUCCAGGAGUAAAAUUGCAUUGCCGACCUGGUCUGAUGUGGAAACUUCUGCUCUUUUCUUUGUCCACUGAGCAUCAGAGCCUCCUGCCUCGUCAGUGUCACUUCUUUACUAGGGGAUCAAUCAUGCAGCCACUGGGAACCUGAUGGCCCAGCCAUCAGGCAAAGACAUCAUAUUUGUUCACUUUGCCCUUUUCCACAUCACAGUUUUGCCAGGAACCACAGUUUUGCCAUGGUCUUUGGAGGAACCUAGACCAUGAGCCAAUGUCCUAGCUACCAGGAAGGCUGGGAAUUUGAGUUCUGCCUCUCGGGAAUUUCUCCAAAUAUAGAAAGGCUAGUUGAAAGAGACAGGCAGCUAUGACUACGGCGGGUACCCAUUUCACUGGACCUAGGUAUGGCCGAUUUGCAGCUGUUUUAAUUGGGCUCGGUGUGGGGAGAUGCCUCGUCCAAAGAUGGCAAGGCUGGAAUUUCUAGCCUUUUCCUAUUUUCCUCUUUUCCCUACGAUUGUUCUCUUUCUCCGUCAACCCUGCAGUCGGCAUAUGUUCAAGUAUCUAAUACUUAAAAGUAAAUCAGUCUGGAAAUUACAUACCAGUAGCUGUGAACCUGAAUGCAUACGGGACUAAUGUAGUCAUAUAGCUGGGUUAUGGGUUGGGGUAUAAGAUGACAGGAGAGUGGUGCUUGGAAAACUGAACAGGACAAUUGGGUUCAAUUAAGAAAAAACACAUUGUGCAAGUCAAACCAAACAGAUCUCUGGGCCAGACCGAGUUUUCAUUUUUCAAUUAGCUUGGCAUAGGUUUGAAGCUUUAAAAAGUGUUUUGCGGUGGAUUCUUCUAUAUUCACAUCUCUUAUAGGCUUCUCAUCUUGGCCUCGUCCUUGGGGUCACUGUCCCUGUCCUGAUAAACCGACGCUGUUUCUACCAUAAGGCUCAAACACAUUUUAAUUUUUGUUCCUAAGUCCUUUGAUCAAGCAGCGUCUUUCUCAGCGUGGGUUGCAGAUGCACUCCCCUUGGACUCAGAUCAGUGCUGCUGCCACACAGGUGGAUAAGCUCUUGUUCUGACAGGUGUCCCUGGAGGAGGGGGACACAGAAAGUCCCUAACUAGUGACUCCCGUUUUUAACCUGAGCUGGUCUUCUGUAUGGCCCUCCUGUCUUAGCCCCUCUCUCUUUGAGCUGGUAGGAUACUAGAAGCUUCUUAACAGCUUCCCACUCUUAUCCCCCAUCCAUCUGGUUGGCCCAGACCUCCAAACUUCCCAGCCAGUUUAAGGGAUUCUGAGAUGAAGAGCUUUGGGUUUUGAUUCUCCUAGACUGUGUUUUCAGCAAGUGCUACUAAAAGUACCACUCUGUGAGAUUUCAUUUACUCUAACUUCUACAAGGUUAUUCCUACCCUGAAAUUUUACUGAUGUUGGGGGAGAUAAAAUUUUUGUAACAACUGUUGGUGGGAAUGUAAAUUGAUACAGCCACUAUGGAGAACAGUAUGGAGGCUCCAUAAAAAACUAAAAACAGAGCUACCAUACGACCCAGCAAUCCCACUACUGGGCAUAUACCCUGAGAAAACCAUAAUUCAAAAAGAGUCAUUUACUACAAUGUUCAUUGCAGCUCUAUUUACCAUAGCCAGGACAUGGAAGCAACCUAAGUGUCCAUCGACAGAUGAAUGGAUAAAGAAGAUGUGGCACAUAUAUACAGUGGAAUAUUACUCAGCCAUAAAAAGAAAUGAAGUUGAGUUAUUUGUAGUGAGGUGGAUGGACCUCAUGUCUGUCAUACAGAGUGAAGUAAGUCAGAAAGAGAAAAACAAAUACCGUAUGCUAACAUAUAUAUAUGGAAUCUAAAAAAAGUGGUUCUGAUGAACCUGGGGGCAGGAUAGGAAUAAAGAGACAGACAUAGAUAAUGGACUUGAGGACAUGGGGAGGGGGAAGGGUAACCUGGGAUGAAGUGAGAGAGUAGCAUUGACAUGUAUACACUACCAAAUGUAAAAUAGAUAGCUAGUGGGAAGCAGCCGCAUAGCACAGGGAGAUCAGCUCGGUGCUUUGUGACCACCUAGAGGGGUGGGAUAGGGAAGGUGGGAGGGAGACGCAAGAGGGAGGGGAUAUGGGGAUAUAGCUAUACGUAUAGCUGAUUCACUUUGUUAUACAGCAGAAACUAACACAACAUUGUAAAGCAAUUAUACUCCAAUAAAGGUGUUAAAAAAAAUUUUUUUGCAA